rnacentral:lncRNA from 1 species
AAUGGCAUUUGCCAGCGUCUAUGUCAGCACGCCUGGACUAGGUCACAACAAUGACUGCCACCAAAGUCUCAGUCUCUGGAGAGCUGUCACCUCUCAUGGAGAUGCACCCAGAGCUUACGAGGAAGCCUCCAUAAAAACCCAAAAGGACAGCAUUCAGAAAGCUUCUGCGGUGGUGAACAUGUGGAGAUUCGGGGAGAACGGUGCAUGGAAGCUCCACGCCCUUUCUCCAUACCUUGCCCCAUGCAUCUAGUUCAUCUGACUGUUCCUGAGUUAUACCAUUUUACUAAGAAACCAGUGGUCCACUUAUAUUUGCUAUCAUAUACCAUCAGAGCUGUCCUGCUGCUGCGCUCAGAGCACCAUACUUGGAAAACACAACUCUCAGAAUGUGGCACGCCAUGGCUCGUCUCCUGCCUAACUCCCACCAUCAUCAUCUUCUGCCUAGCUGUUUUCUGGAAGUUCUAACUCCAAGAGAUAAGAUCAGUUUUGUACUAGAAAUCCGGGAAGAAGGAAACAGCAGUAAGAGGGAGCCGAAGGGCAAAACCGAUGAAGACAUCUUCAGGUUUCAAAGAAGGAGAAAACAUGUAAGCUGGUGAGUCUGAGACCAACUCCAGGGCAAGUUUUAGAGUGAAUUAUUUACUUAGCAAAGGAAACAACCAUCAAAGAAGCCACCAUGGAUUCAAUAAGAACAAAUUAUUGCAGACUUUACACUUUCUGAAAGAAUUACUGGAAUAGUAUUGCAGCAAGGGGUAACUUCUUGCCAAAAUUGAGGUUAGAGGGAUCAUGUUCUUGUA